rnacentral:rRNA from 1 species
UACGUAGGGACCAAGCGUUGUUCGGAUUUACUGGGCGUAAAGGGCGCGUAGGCGGCUUGACAAGUCACUUGUGAAAUCUCCGGGCUUAACUCGGAACGGCCAAGUGAAACUGUCAUGCUAGAGUGCAGAAGGGGCAAUCGGAAUUCCAGGUGUAGCGGUGAAAUGCGUAGAUAUCUGGAGGAACACCGGUGGCGAAGGCGGCAUCCUGGACCAAUAUUGACGCUGAGGAGCGAAAGCCAGGGGAGCAAACGGG